rnacentral:rRNA from 1 species
GAGCGGCGAACGGGUGAGUAACACGUGAGCAACCUGCCCCUGACUCUGGGAUAAGCCUGGGAAACCGGGUCUAAUACCGGAUAUGACCGUCUCCGGCAUCGGGUGACGGUGGAAAGAUUUUUUGGUCGGGGAUGGGCUCGCGGCCUAUCAGCUUGUUGGUGGGGUAGUGGCCUACCAAGGCGACGACGGGUAGCCGGCCUGAGAGGGCGACCGGCCACACUGGGACUGAGACACGGCCCAGACUCCUACGGGAGGCAGCAGUGGGGAAUAUUGCGCAAUGGGCGGAAGCCUGACGCAGCGACGCCGCGUGGGGGAUGACGGCCUUCGGGUUGUAAACCUCUUUCAGCAGGGACGAAGGUGACGUGUACCUGCAGAAGAAGCGCCGGCUAACUACGUGCCAGCAGCCGCGGUAAUACGUAGGGCGCAAGCGUUGUCCGGAAUUAUUGGGCGUAAAGAGCUCGUAGGUGGCUGGUCGCGUCUGCCGUGAAAGCCCGCAGCUUAACUGCGGGUCUGCGGUGGAUACGGGCCGGCUAGAGGUAGGUAGGGGCAAGUGGAAUUCCU